AUGAGUUACCAGCUGAUGAAGAAGGCCAGGAGCGAAGCAACACAGCAGAAGGCGUCGUCUUUGUCUUUGGAACAACAGCAUGAAAAGAUAAAUGAGGUGCGGGUUCUCCUUGGCAGUCUGACCAAGGAGAUGCCAAGUUUCUUGUCAGACGCCACCAUCCGUCGUUUCCUCCGAGCGAGGAAUUGGAGCAUGGAACAAGCAACCAAGGGUCUCAAGGAAACCGUCAAGUGGAGGCGUGAGUACAGGCCGGAUGCAAUUUCCUGGGAAGACCUUGCUGAAAUGGAGAACGAGGCGAGGAGAACACAUGUAGCCGACUACCUUGACAAGAAUGGAAGAAGCGUCCUGGUAGUAAACCUACCAAUGAAGUCGAAAGUUUCAGUCAAGGAGCAGAUAAAGCACCUGGUAUAUCUCCUCGAGUAUUUCGCUACCAAUUCAGCAGAUGAACAAGACGACUAUGUUGUUUGGUUGAUUGACUUCCGAGGCUGGUCGAUAUCGAGUACGCCAUUUUCGACAACCCGUGAGACCAUGCACAUAAUUCAAAACUACUAUCCAGGGGUGAUAGCCGUGGCGAUUCCUUUUGACCCUCCGAAGAUUUUUGAAUCUUUUUGGAAGAUAGCAAAGAACUUUGUCCAGCCAAACAUGAAAGAGAAAGUGAAGUUUGUUUAUGCUAACAAACCAGAGAGCCUGGAGAUAAUUGCUGACAUCUUUGACUUAGACAUGCUGGAGUUGUCGUUUGGAGGAAGAAGCACCAGUGCAAUCUUUGACAUCAAUAAGUAUGCUGAGAGAAUGAUAAGAGCCGACAAGAUGAGAGUAACAUCAGAAGACACAAAUGGCAAAUGA
rnacentral:rRNA from 1 species